rnacentral:lncRNA from 1 species
CCACAAUCAAAUUAUAGCAAUCUGCUUUUUUCCAAAUGGUUCACAGCAGACUCAAGUUGAAGUGUGCAGGAGGCAAAGCACUGCACAUGGCAACGACCUCGUGUAUCUUGCAUCACAGAUCAGAGAUAUUUACUUUUUCUCAGCUACGUGACCCUGAAUUAGCAGCUACAGUGGCACAAGCACCAUUGCUAUGGUUACUGUCACAUAAUGUCAUCUUUCUGAGGCUCCAAAGCCACUUACAGGUGUGAGAGGUCAGUCAGUAAUGAUUUCAGUAUAGAAGUGCAAUACUUUUGUCUGAGAAAGGGUGACGAGAAAGGCAGCAGGGGUUAAACCCAAAGAAGCAAACAAAGUGGUGGAAAGCAAAGACUGGCAAUGAGUACAUUUCCUGCCACACCAGAAGAUAUCGAUCCUUGUGUGUCAUCUCAGUUCUCCUGGCUUGCUGAGUGCUUCUGAGUACAAACACAGAACCAACAUCCCUCAGGAGAUUGCAAACUUUUUAGGGAACUCAAAAGACAGGGUCAGUGCAUGGAGGUUGAGACAUGCUGAAUCAAAGCUCUUCUGACCCUGGAAAGUUCCCUGGUCUUGCAAAAAGGACUUUCAUUUUCCACUUCUGAGAAAGACCCAUUAAACUGUAGUAAAUUUCUCUCUGGUUGAGUCUUGAUUUUGCCUCAAGUUUGAGAUGGACAGCAGCUGGUGUACUUCCUUGGAGGUAUUUUAGAGAUGGGACUGAUGCUAAUUCAUUAUUAACAUUAACCUGUGAGGAAUUGCUGCGUCCUUCUUGCUGGACCUUGUCUUCUUGGACCACAUUCAAGCAGAUGCACCAGGAGGAUUGGCCCAACAAGUCCAUUAGCAGUUGAGCAGCAGGUGGCCAGUGUGAGAUGAGACUGAUGGCCAUGCACAGGAGAGCUCUGCCUGUUGAGAUGACCAGUGCACAGACUGGGGCUAGAUUUCUUACUUAUACAUGAGACAUUGUUGUCUUCUUACGUGCCAUUGUUUUCUUUGUUACCUUCCCUUUCCCCAGAGCAAGCGCCGCAGAUGUUGGAAAAGAGAGUGGAGUUGGUCUGAUUUUGCUUCUCUUUUAGGAAAGCCAGUUCAUGCUUUGCCUAGCAGAUUUCUGUGAGUGAAGAUCCUUGCUUCUCUUUCUUGCUUCUCCUUUUUUUGCUUAUUGGCUUUGAGUUUCUGCGCAACUAGUAAGAGGCAGCCUAUUAAGGUUUGGAUUUGCCCAUUAAAUGAGAGGGUAGUGUAUACCCUAUCUCCUUUCUCACUUCAUGUCACUGAGCUGAAGGAGCACAGCAACAUUUUGCUGUCUGAAUCAACAGACACUAUUUCACAAACGUUCAUUCAAAGUGCAGCAAUAGCAAAAGCUUGAGUGUCAUGUUAUUUGCAAAUUUUUGUUUGUUUGUUUUUGCCUGUUCACAACUCGUGCCUCAAGGAUCACAAGUCUCCAGGGCUGGCUCUUUCACUGGACUAUUCAGUAGAAUGAGUAAUGCUUCCCUCUUUGCCUCUUUUUUUUUCCUUCUCAAAAGGUAAUUUUGGUUUAACUGGUUUAGCUGCCUUUGUCUUUUGAGCAGAACUGAUAUUGCUUUAUUGCAACUGUGUGUACAAGUCUCCUAAGGGGAUCCUAAAGAUCCACAGAGGCCACGUUCCUCUUUAGAAAACAAGCUGACUCCUGAAAGCUAUUAUCAGGAAUGUCAGAAGGCCAACAUUGGUGGGUGUGUGUGCUAAAAAAGUAAAGUUAAACCAGCAAGGCACUGCAUUCUCCUGUUCCUUCUCAUCUGUUGUCUGACAUCAAAACAAACUUGCUACCUGUACUCUGUCUGUUGUGUGGGUGGGGAAAGAAUUGAAGUUCCACAGUUAAUGGGGACGUCUUGUAAGAGGUAGACAAACAGGA